UAAUACGUAGGGUGCGAGCGUUAAUCGGAAUUACUGGGCGUAAAGCGUGCGCAGGCGGUUAUGUAAGACAGAUGUGAAAUCCCCGGGCUCAACCUGGGAACUGCGUUUGUGACUGCAUAACUAGAGUACGGCAGAGGGAGGUGGAAUUCCACGUGUAGCAGUGAAAUGCGUAGAGAUGUGGAGGAACACCGAUGGCGAAGGCAGCCUCCUGGGCCAGUACUGACGCUCAUGCACGAAAGCGUGGGGAGCAAACAGGAUUAGAUACCCUGGUAGUCCACGCCCUAAACGAUGUCAACUAGUUGUUCGGUGAGGAGACUCAUUGAGUAACGCAGCUAACGCGUGAAGUUGACCGCCUGGGGAGUACGGCCGCAAGGUUAAAACUCAAAUGAAUUGACGG
rnacentral:rRNA from 1 species